GACGAACGCUGGCGGCGUGCUUAACACAUGCAAGUCGAGCGGUAAGGCCCUUUCGGGGGUACACGAGCGGCGAACGGGUGAGUAACACGUGGGUGACCUGCCCUCAGCUCUGGGAUAAGCCUGGGAAACCGGGUCUAAUACCGGAUAUGACUCCAUGACGCAUGUUGUGGGGUGGAAAGCCUUGUGCGGCUGAGGAUGGGCCCGCGGCCUAUCAGCUUGUUGGUGGGGUGAUGGCCUACCAAGGCGACGACGGGUAGCCGGCCUGAGAGGGCGACCGGCCACACUGGGACUGAGACACGGCCCAGACUCCUACGGGAGGCAGCAGUGGGGAAUCUUGCGCAAUGGGCGAAAGCCUGACGCAGCGACGCCGCGUGAGGGAUGACGGCCUGUGU
rnacentral:rRNA from 1 species